CUUGGCCUCAUAGAAAGAACAUUGUCCUGGACGUGGCCAAAGGACUUGCUUACUUGCACUAUGGUCUCAAACCUGCCAUUUAUCACCGAGACAUCAAGACAACAAACAUACUAUUGGACCUGGAAAUGAAAGCAAAAGUUGCAGAUUUCGGGUUGGCUAAGCAAAGCUUGGAAGGUCAGUCACACCUCACAACAAGGGUAGCAGGCACACAUGGCUAUUUAGCACCAGAGUAUGCUCUUUAUGGUCAAUUAACAGAGAAAAGCGAUGUCUACAGCUUUGGAAUUGUGAUUCUUGAAAUCAUGAGCGGAAGGAAGGUGCUUGAUACAUCAAAUUCUUCGUAUCUUUUGAUUACUGAUUGGGCAUGGACGCUAGCAAAAUCUGGAAAUAUAGAGCAAAUCUUUGAUGAAUCCAUUAGGGAGGAAGGACCAAAAGGGGUAAUGGAGAGAUUUGUUCUUGUUGGGAUUCUUUGUGCACAUGUAAUGGUGGCAUUUAGACCCACCAUUGCUGAUGCUCUUAGAAUGCUAGAGGGUGAUAUUGACAUCCCAAAAUUGCCUGACAGGCCAAUGCCACUCGGCCAUGAAGCGUUUAGAUCCUCUACCUCUUUCUGGUGUAGU
rnacentral:misc_RNA from 1 species